rnacentral:sRNA from 2 species
AUGUCCCACUCGUACCCUCCGGCUCUGAGCGCGCCGUCCGCGCCAACCUGACAGCUGCUCGCUACGUUUUGUUAGCC